GAACACCUGGGACUACAGGAAGCUGGAAGAGGAAUAUGGAGCACAUUCCUCCCUAGAGCCUUGUGUGGGAGUGGGAUCCUGCAGACUGCUUGACUUCAGACGUCUGGCUUCUAGACUCGUGAUACAGUAUGUGUGUGUUGUUUCAAGCCACACAGUUUGUGUUAUGUACUAUGCAGCCCCAGGCAAAAGUAGAGACACAUUGCAUCCAAAUCGGUGGGCAUAAGGGCACCCUUCACACACCCUGUGGCAGUAUCGGGGGCCCAUCUCAGGUCCAGGUGUCCCUAGCCACUAAGCUGUUGGCCUCCUAGGUUCUGUGUUCUUAAAGGGAAAGCAGUCUCCUUCCCAAGCGGUACAGCUCCUCUACUGGGAUUUGGGCAAAAUUCAUACCUUGGUAUUUGUGACCUCCAUGACCCAACAUACUAACAUUAUUAAUAAAAGUUUGUUGAGAGACCAUCAGCAGGGUUUGCUCUGGGAUGAACUGUGACUCUACAAGCUCCAUCAUGGACCCCUCAAGGGCCCCACCUGGGCCCCACCUUGGCUGAGUCACUUUGAAACAUCUGCUCAUGGAAAAUGAAGCACGUCCUGGGGGCACAUGGUGAUCAAAAAGGAAAAGAAAGUGACGGUAUCACACUGCAGCACGAGGUCCAGGGAGGAACCUGGAGGCCUGUUGAUCAUCUGCAUCCCAGUGUUCCCCGCCUGCAUUGUCCUCUUCACGUCCUUGCCCACGAGUCCAGAUGAAAAAGGGAGGUCCACAUUGCAAAGGGGGGAUGUCCCUGAAACUGGUCCCUCCUGCCAUCGCACUGCCUGUGACUCCAGGGCAGAGUAGAAGCUGCCUUGGAAGGGACAGGAUUCCUUGG